rnacentral:lncRNA from 1 species
CUCUAAGUUAUUUUACUUUUUACUAGAAAAGAGAUUACUAUUAGAUAUUGCAAAAAUACCUGCAUAUCAAGUAUUUAUCAACUGAUAAAAGAGGGACGAAAGAUACCAAAGGGACAGUCAAACUCAUAAAUCUAAAACAAACUGACAACGCCAUGGCUAAAAAUAAAAAAGACAAACAGAAAAACAAUAGUACACAUGACACAACAUAGAAAACUAAAGAAUAAACAACACGAACCCCACCAAAAACUAGGGGUGAUCUCAGGUGCUCCGGA